CUACGGGGGGCAGCAGUGGGGAAUAUUGGACAAUGGGGGAAACCCUGAUCCAGCAAUGCCGCGUGUGUGAAGAAGGCCUGCGGGUUGUAAAGCACUUUCGGUUGGGAGGACUGCUUCUAGCACUAAUAUUGUUGGAAGUUGACGUUACCUUCAGAAGAAGCACCGGCUAACUCCGUGCCAGCAGCCGCGGUAAUACGGGGGGUGCAAGCGUUAAUCGGAAUUACUGGGCGUAAAGCGCGCGUAGGCGGCUAGAUCAGUCGGGUGUGAAAGCCCCGGGCUUAACCUGGGAACUGCAUCCGAUACUGUCUAGCCUGAGUACAGGAGAGGAGAGUGGAAUUCCACAUGUAGCGGUGAAAUGCGUAGAUAUGUGGAGGAACACCAAUGGCGAAGGCAGCUCUCUGGCCUGAUACUGACGCUGAGGUGCGAAGGCGUGGGGAGCAAACAGGAUUAGAUACCCCGGUAGUC
rnacentral:rRNA from 1 species